UAGCAUAUCAAUAAGCGGAGGAAAAGAAACCAACCGGGAUUGCCUCAGUAACGGCGAGUGAAGCGGCAAAAGCUCAAAUUUGAAAUCUGGCACUUUCAGUGUCCGAGUUGUAAUUUGUAGAAGUAGUUUUGGGGCUGGUCCUUAUCUAUGUUCCUUGGAACAGGACGUCAUAGAGGGUGAGAAUCCCGUGUGAUGAGGAUCCCAGUUCCGUGUAAAACGCUUUCAAAGAGUCGAGUUGUUUGGGAAUGCAGCUCUAAGUGGGUGGUAAAUUCCAUCUAAAGCUAAAUAUUGGCGAGAGACCGAUAGCGAACAAGUACAGUGAUGGAAAGAUGAAAAGAACUUUGAAAAGAGAGUGAAAAAGUACGUGAAAUUGUUGAAAGGGAAGGGCAUUUGAUCAGACAUGGUGUUUUGUUCCCUCCGCUCCUUGUGGGUGGGGGAUCUGCAGCUCACUGGGCCAACAUCAGUUCUGGGAGCCGGAUAAAUCUGCAGGAACGUAGCUUUCUUCGGGAAGUGUUAUAGCCUGUAGGAAUACUGCUACCUGGGACUGAGGACUGCGUCUUUAUGGCAAGGAUGUUGGCAUAAUGGUUAAAUGCCGCCCGUCUUGAAACAUGGACCAAGGAGUCUAACGUCUAUGCGAGUGUUUGGGUGUAAAACCCGUACGCGUAAUGAAAGUGAACGUAGGUGAGGGCCCCUUUAGGGGUGCAUCAUCGACCGAUCCUGAAGUUUUCAGAUGGAUUUGAGUAAGAGCAUAGCUGUUGGGACCCGAAAGAUGGUGAACUAUGCCUGAAUAGGGUGAAGCCAGAGGAAACUCUGGUGGAGGCUCGUAGCGGUUCUGACGUGCAAAUCGAUCGUCGAAUUUGGGUAUAGGGGCGAAAGACUAAUCGAACCAUCUAGUAGCUGGUUCUGCGAG
rnacentral:rRNA from 2 species